GGCCGUCCAGUAGCCCGUGUCCAGCCCGAUCUGUGGCAAGCAGUAGUCACAGGCAGGCGGAGCCUGCCCCCGUGCCCCUCCCCGCCCAGGGCAAGCCCCCAGGUGGGAGCGGGGGCGGCUCCCGGGUCCCC